CAGGCACAAUGCAGGAUGAAUGAAGGUGUAGUGAGGUCCAAAGACCCAGAGUUUAAAUACUGGAGGCAGAUGAGUUGAUUGGCAGCAGGUGAUUCACAUUCAGCAAUCAGCCACAGAUAUGGAAAAACACAGCUGGCAAAAAAUCCAAAUCCCUGACAAACUCAGAUGAAAUCUAUAGUAAUCAGUUUCUACCCAGCUCUGAUGAUAUAAUAUUAUAAUAUCACCACUGAAACACCAAAUUACAGAUAUUCUAUAAUAUUGUUAAUAUUGUUAAUAUGUAGUAAUAUUAAAGCUGUUUUUCAGGUUCACCUGCGCUCAUGAGAUCAGUGUAUUUAACUCUCAUGAUACUGGUCAAUGCUGUAUUGUUCUAUUUCUACAUCACAGCUCUGGAAAAUGAAAAGGAUCGUGUCGGAUGGGCCUGUAUGAUUGUGUUUCUCCAGUCUCUCUGGGCACUGAGUCUGCACUUACCUAAUAUAAUACAUAUGUACCUGAUCAUACAUAUGUUGCUCCAGCUUUAAUUCACUUAAAGACACUUGGUGUAUGAGUGAAACAACAGAAGCUCAAGGUGCAGGUUUUUAGUUAAAAGUAUACGAAAGACAGGCGUAGCUUGAGUUAACCCUCUGGAGUCUAAGGGUAUUUUUGGGGCCUGGAGAAGUUUUGUCAUGCCCUGACAUUUGUGCUUUUUUCAGUUUCUUAUAAAUAUCUAAAUGGCUAAAGUCUAAUCUCACUGUAAUCAGCACAAACUAGGCUAUAAUAAUAUGUGAGCAGCAUGUAUGUACAUGAUUGUGUUUUUGAGAAAAAAAAUGUUAUGCAUGGUUAGUGAAAAACUAAAAAUGUUAAAUCACUUGAAAAAGGCAAUAAAACACAUACAGAACAUUGGUUCCCAGGAAUUUUGAGAACUGGAGCUUGUAGCCUAGAAUUUUUUUUUUCUAAAUGAUGUGAAAAUCAUCUUGUUUACUCACUUACAGAAAACAAUAUAUUGAUUUAAAUUUUCUAAGACACUUUUUGUUGGUAAAAGUCAUAUGCGAGUAGGCGUCAACUAUCAUGAAUUCACACCUGAGAAGACAACGGCCUGCAUAAUGAGCUGCAUAAUGAGCCAUUCAGUCAGCUGUGUCACUGAGAGAGGGAUGAGUUACAAGAAAGAAUGUGAGGACAAAAUAAAUGUAUAUAAUUUUAUGUUUGUAGUUUAUUUAGAAUAUAUUUAAUUAUCCCACAACAUAAUUUAAUAUUCACUUGUGAGUGCAGUUAAACAGUUUAUUAGGAACAAUCAAAGCUGACUUUCAAACUGAAUUUUUUGCAUCAUUACUCCAGUCACACAAUCCUUCAGAAAUCCUUUUAACAAUCUUAUUUUCUACAAAAAAACAAAAAAACAUUUAUUGUUAUUAUUAUCAUCAUUAUUAUUAUUAUUAUUAUUAUUAUUAUUAAUGUUGAAAAAGAGCUGAGAAUUUUUUUUUUCCAGGUUUUUUAGGGGGGAUAAAUUGAAAGAACAGCAAUGAUUGUUACAUUUGUUACAGUUAAAUUUAUUGUUACAUUUAUAUUAUUUACAUCAAGCUUUUGAAUGGCAUAGUAGUGUAUAUUGUUAUUGAAACUUCAUAAUAUUUCACUUGAUUAUACAUUUAGUCAG
rnacentral:lncRNA from 1 species